GUUACGAUUCUUGGACAUGAGCCAUGCCUGAUGAAGCUUUUUGUUAAAGCACAUGUGCGGAGUGAUGACCACUAAAAAGAGGUGCAACAGUUCAUGGAUAGCUAAGCCCAACACUUAAUGGAUACAUAUAACAGCCGUUUGAAGGAGAGAUGUAUGGACGAUCUUUCGACCCAUCUGGAUAUCGAUCUGGUUUUUAUGGUUGGAGACAGGAUCAUCUAACACUACGACUGCAAACUUGUGUACGGCUCGUAGUGUUUCGACCAUUAGACGCUCGCAAUUGGUUCCGAUCACACAAACUCCAGAGUUCGCGACGAUGUUAGGUCAACGAGUACAGAAUCAGACAUCCGAUCUUAAUGAAAAAAAAUGAACGACUCACUACGGAUUAUGAAGAAUUCCACCUAGUGGUAAUGGAGAUGAGAUCACAUAUGGUGAUCCAUGUGUUCCUCCUUAUUGGCUUUAUGGUUUCAGUGAUAACUAACCUCCUCCUCCUCCUCCUCCUCCAGCACCGUCUCUAUUUUAGAUUUAUUGUAUUUGAACUUAAAAAUGUUUAAAUUUGUAAUAGAUAUUUAAUUUUCAUAUUAUUUUAAUUUCUUUUUAUA